CUAAGAUAAAUUCCUAGUCCUCAUAACUGAUUAUUUACUGCUAUCAGUACUGAACUAGAAGUCUUGAAAAGCACCCAACAUCAUUCUUCCUGUAAAUAAUUGUCACACUCCAUAGCAUCUCAGCAUCUGCCUGAAGACCAGCCCUAAGAACUAGGAUCCAUGCUUCAAUCUCAGCCUCAGACUUCUGGAUGCUGUUUUGUCAUCCCUCCAGUAUGACGUCCUGUGUUUCUUCAUCAGAAUCCAUCCUCUAAUGUAGAAGACUGAUCAUUCAGAUGUUGAGUUGGGCAAUACAGAAGAGAGACAGAGUCUGGCCUAUUCCCUUCACUCUGACAGGUCCACAUUAAGAAUGAAAAAAAAAAAGAAGAAGAAGAAGUGAUGAGAAACUGUUCUAAGUCCCAAGAGUUAUACAAAGCUUAGCUGUGACUGCAGCCCAAGUCCUCAAUGCCCCUCAGAGGAUGUCAAUGAAACUAGAAGAGAUUCUGGACACACCCACAACAGAGGUACUAGAAAAAAUACCUGGCUGGAAUACUGGAAGAGAAGUGGCUGGGAAAAAUAGUGGCUGGAAACUGGAAGAGAAGCUCAUGAUGAGAAAUUCAAAACUAACAUUCAGAAUUCUUAAUAAAUGACCUGAUAUAUGCCAACAUUAUUAAACAACUUUUUAAUUAAA